rnacentral:lncRNA from 9 species
GAUCAUCCUUUUGGAAGGUGAGGAAAUCUCAGACAUUUUGGGAGAAUUCUCCCUUAUGCCAAAUUGUCAAAGUCAGGAUGUCUGAAACCCCCCAGAUAUCCCGCAAAUUCAAGCAGUGCUUUCUAAUCAUUGUAUAACCAAGACACUACUAGAAAUUUCCAAAAUGCCCUUUAAAGAGCUGUACCACCUCUGCUUAGGCUUCUAGCCCAAAUGUUUGAUAUUGUUUGAUACUAUUAGAACAACCAGAGUUGCUAUAGAACUAGACUCCUAAAUUUCUCUAAAUAGCUUUAUUUCAUUUCUUAAAAUUUUCAUUAAAAUUACAUUAAAUGACAGCGAAAUACAUGCUGGUAUAUUAUGAAAGAAAUGAUCGUUUGGAGCUUUAUCUGGUAGCCUUAGAAAACUCAGCUCUUGGAAUUCCUGCUAUGGUGCAGGAUUAAGGAUCCAGUGACAUCUCUGUGGUGGCACAGGUUCAGUCCCUGGUCUGGCACAGUGGGUUGAAGGAUCUGACAUUGCCGCAGCUUGGUGCAGCUUGCAGCUGUGGCUUGGAUUCCAUCCCUGGCCCAGGAACUUCCAUAUGCCUCGGGUGCACCUAAAAAAGAAAAAAAAAAAAGAAAGAAAAAGUCAACUCUCACUUUGCAUUUCAACUUUUGUCUGCCAAAAAGGAGAAGGAAAGGGAGCCAUAGAUGGUACUAAAUGGUGGGGCAGUUGAAACCAUUGUUUUGGGGAACCAAGAGCCCAUAAAGCCCACCCAGUUCCAUCUCCAACAGCCAAUGCCUGGCCAGACUCUUGCUUUUCUGACAGAGACAGAGUUGGUUCUCACUUUAUUUGGUGGCAGCUAUUUUGGAGCCAACAAGCAUCCAUCUACGAGUGGUCAGGAAGUCCUACCAGCUGAGAGGCUUCUUGGGCUUAUGACGUGGAUGGGGCUGGUGAAACAGGAUGGUUUUACACUUGCUGACUUGAAAGUGAUAUAUUUUGAUGCGACAGAUGCUCAUCUCUUAAUCUCUCUUUGGCCAUCACUGUCCACCUUUUGUUGUCAACCAUAAGCCCACAUGGAAGAGAAGGAUUUGAAGGGGGAUAACUUUAAAAUACAAAGAAUAGCUAAGGGAGAUAACAAACUUAAGGAGAAAUGAAUAUCCGGGUCCUUGUGACCAAACCUUGAAAUAUCUUUUUACCACUCUGCUGACAUGUAGAAUCACUGAGCAUGGCAUUUUAGGGUUGGGGGGAUCUCGAAGGACAUAGGAAAUCAAAGAGCCGUCUGAGGAUCACUGGAAUUCUAACCAUCUGGGAGUUUUGUUAGAGAGGCAGGUGUAGGCACCCCUUCCCAAGAAUUUGCAUUUUUAAGAUGCUCUGGGGAGUUCUUUAGUGCACUUCACUCUGUGGAUGGGAGUGCUGAAGCGAGUUCCAAGAUCCAGUGACCUAGGUGUCAAGGCUAAUCUCCAGCCUAGGGCUCUUUCCUAGUGCAGCGUCAUGCAGGCGUGAAACGGCUGAGUAAAACAAAUCAAGUUCUUCUCCUUCCCCUAAAUCCCCUUCCUCUCUUAUGUCUUGAGGGAGGAUAAUCAGUGACUGUAAAGAAUAAGAGGAAUUUUAUCCUUUAUUUCCUAGCGUGUGCCAAGUACUUUUUCCCUGAUGGAGCACACAUGAAAUGUGAAUUCCACACAUUUCCUUCCCAGACAAGUGGCCACGCUGUGCUCCUGAUCUCUUCUGUCUGUCCUGGAAGCUGGAAGAAGCUCUUAUCUGGCCCUGUUGUAAUCUGAAUAGGCAGCUGUGGCCACGGGUGGUUUGUGGGCCACGUCUUUGUGAAAUCUCUUCGCAUUCUGGGAUUCUGAGGACUCCCCAUGUAGGCUGUCAUUUUUCCUAUCUUCUCUUGUUUUUAUCUAUCCCAGCCACAAGCCUAUGAAGUGCCUAAGAGAAGAGACAGGUGGCAGCCAAAGCUGAUGUAUUUCCUUCCACAAGCCAAUUCCUUUCCUCAUAGACACAGGUACUGGCUAGGAACCAAGCCAUCAAGGAACACAACCUAUGCCUAGAGAAUCUGAGAGCUCCUGAAGCUCAGGUAAUUAUAGUCAUCCCUUGGUAUCAGUGGGGGCUGAUUCCAGAACCCCCAGAACCAAACAUCCAUGGGUUCUCAAGUCCCUUACAUAAAAUGGCUUAAUAUUUACAUAUACUCUGUCCUCUUGUAUACUUUCAGGCAUCUCUGGAUUACUUAUAGUACCUAAUACAGUGCAAAUGCUAUAUCAGUAGUGGCUGGUUAUGGCACCUUCAAGUUUUGCUUUUUGCAACUCUGUGAUUUUUUUCCAAAAUAUUUUCAAUCUGCUCUUGGUCGACUUCAUGGAUGUGGAAGCUAUGGAUCCAGAGAGCCUGCUGUAUAAGAAUCUAUGGAGCUAAGGCCCUUCGGCAGUCAGACAAGGACUGCUAUAAUGGCAGCCCAGUAGAGAAAGAUAGAGCCCUGAGAGUCAGCUGCCCCAGCUGUCACUGAUUCUAUGUCUCGUUACUAAGAGGGACCCUUCGCGAUUCUGCCUCUGUGUGGGUCAUGUGAGGUGCUGAUUCUAAGAACCUUUCGGGACAUGGGGUACACCUACUUAGGGCUGGGACGGUGGCUCAGGGCAUGGAAGAGCGCCAUCUGCAGGCUCCUUCCUGUGGGCAGUCAGCACAUGUCCACAGCAAAACAGCUGUGAUGGCGUCAGGGAGGAAAGAUAUAUUCAACUUGCUUGUGGUUUGGGGAUUGGUAUAGCCUUUGUGUCAAGGCAGUUGUUUUGGUUCUAGGAUGGAAAUGGACUCCUAACACAUUUAAUAAUAAGCUGGAGUUCCCGUUAUAGUGCAGUGGAAACGAAUCUGACUAGGAACCAUGAGGUUGUGGGUUUGAUUCCUGCCCUUGCUCAGUUGGUUAAGGAUCUGGCAUUGCCAUGAGCUGUGGUGUAGGUCACAGACGCAGCUUGGAUCUGAUGUUGCUGUGGCUCUGGUGUAGGAUGGGAGCAACAGUUCCGAUUCGACCCCUAGCCUGGGAACCUCCAUAUGCCGCAGGUGCAGCCCUAAAAAAGACAAAAAAAAAAAAAAAAAAAAAAAAGCCAUGCCAUGUUAAUUGCAUAUAUUGUAGGAAUGCUGGAAAUGGAGUCAUGUUGCUAAGAUAGGAUACUGAUUAUUGAGGCGUUUUCGUUUGUUUGGUGAGGAGAGGGGCCUUCGCCAUCUUAAUUAGAUAAAUGACAGCAGUCGUUGUCAUGACAGUUAACAUUUAAUUAGCCCCCCACCCCCAGGGAUCAGAAGCACCUUACUUACUUGGUGGUCUGAUUUGAGCCUCAGAAUCAUCUGAUGAGGACAAUGGAAUAAUUAUCCUUGUUUUACU